GUUGGUCUACUAUAUAUGGUGUCAGAGAAAUAAGACGGGAUUUCCGGUUUCUUGAGGUUGCUAUAAAAAGCCCUGGUUGAUCAAAGGAAAAACCAUCGACAAGCGAUUGUUUCAUCCACGUUCGUCAGAGGAACAGCAAAGAGAAAAGAAAAUGCUUCGCCUUGCAGUAAUUAUUGUUUUAUUAGCAGUAAUCGUUUCUUCCGCACUUGCGCAACUGAUUCCUUACCACUAUUUUCCGCCAGGCGGUUUCCACCACCACCACCAUGGGCAUCAUCACCACCAUGGACAUCACCACCAUCAUGGACAUCAUCACCACCAUGGACAUCAUCAUCAUCAUGGACAUUACCAUGGCUAAAUCAGCCAACAGUUUUGCUAGAUUUCUAUGUAGACAAUUUCUUUCUGGUGUCAGCGUUUGUAUCAGCGUGAAUUAUACCCUUUACAUAUACACGUAAAGCAGCAAAAAGCUAACAAAAUGAUUUACAGUUACUAUUACGCUCAAGUUUCCUAACAGGCGAGAGCACUAGGUAAACAAGAAACAGUUAGGGCAAUUUUCUUCACUUUUGACAAAAGAGAAAGCGCUAAGUUCAGGGGAAAUGUUGAUCUCUGCUAUUCUAUAGAGUGAUAUUCUCAACAUUGACAAGUCCAGU
rnacentral:lncRNA from 1 species